CAGCCGCCGCGGGAAUACGUAGGGUGCAAGCGUUAAUCGGAAUUACUGGGCGUAAAGCGUGCGCAGGCGGCUUCUUAAGUCGGAUGUGAAAUCCCUGAGCUUAACUUAGGAAUUGCAUUCGAUACUGGGAAGCUAGAGUAUGGGAGAGGAUGGUAGAAUUCCAGGUGUAGCGGUGAAAUGCGUAGAGAUCUGGAGGAAUACCGAUGGCGAAGGCAGCCAUCUGGCCUAAUACUGACGCUGAGGUACGAAAGCAUGGGGAGCAAACAGGAUUAGAUACCCCUGUAGUCCCUGUCUCUUAUAC
rnacentral:rRNA from 1 species